CCUAUUCUGUUCACAAAAUAUCAAGCAGUAUUCCAUGAUGUGAGAUAGUUAUGUUAUGACUAUUUACCUUGUUCCCGAUAAUGCAGUAACUAAACUAGUGUUGUUGCAAUUAAAUAGAGUGCUAUUGAUGGAAUCAUUGAUUGCUCAGUCACAUGUGUCAUAUUCAUCAGCAAAGAGCAGAUUGGAAGCUGAAAUAUUGAAAUUGUAGAUGAAUAACUGAGUUUUAUCUUACUGCAUAUUUAGUUUUUCUUUUUUAGUUUAAAAGUUAAAAAUCCCUUUACAGUGUAUUUUAGCCACUGGAAACAUUUCAAUGCCUUGUAUUCUGGUACCGGUAUUGAUAAAAUGUAUUUCUACUUAUCAGUGAAUUUUGAACAAAAAGAAUUUUUGAGAGUCUCAAACCAUACCAAUCAAUUUUAAAAGUUACAUACAUAUUUCCUCCAAAUUACAGCACAAUGCAACUGACUUCAAUCCUUUAUAUCAACCUAGCUACUGUUGUACAUGACCUUCAGUUAUCAGUAGUAAUAACUUUCAGUAGCUGAGCAAUGUAGUAUAUAAAAAUCAGUUGAUAUAUCGUACAAAUGCUCUUAAUGACCAAGUUUAAAAAGAAUGCUACAGAUUAUUAAGGACUUAAUUUACCAACCAAUCACUGAAAUUAACCUGAAACUAUAGGCGUAUUCAGGGUAAAGGGGUUUGGAGAUUGUAACCCCACCCUAUUGAUAUAAAUAUUCAAGGUUCAACGUAGUUGCUUCUAAGAAACUGCUAAAUAAAAGCCAAAUAUCUUAUGUGAAAGAUCAACAAACAUAUUGUCUAUAGUGUACUUCUCCUUUCAGAUCUCAGGUUGAUGCCUGUAAUAGUUGGUCUAGAACUGUAACCCAAACGAAUGUCUAAUAGGCAAUAGAGGUCACUAGUAUGAUGAUAUUAAAAUCAUCAAAAAACUAAAUAAAUUUAUCUUUCGUCGAUUUAUA